AAGACUAUAGACCUGCGGAGUACCUGCGGAAGGAUCAUUACCGAGUGUUGAUUGCCUAGCAAUCGCCUCCCACACUUGAUUACUGUAUUGUUGCUUCGGCGAGACGCUUUUCUUGUAAAUGCCGUCGACUUAUUCAUAUUGACAAUGUGGGGUCACGUGUGUAUAACACGUGACCCAGCAAGUCAAAAUGGAUUGUGGGCGUGAGCUGGCCGAAGGUUUUUCACGCCUGAAUUUUUGAUG
rnacentral:misc_RNA from 1 species